GAAAUACAGUGCCUCUAAAAAAAAUAUAUAUAUACAGUAUAUUUACAUAUAUUUUAUAUAUAUAUAUAUAUUAGAGCUUGAUUAUUUGUUAAACAAGUAAACAAAUACAGUUACAACCUUCUGAACUAAAAUGUAUUUUGGGAGAGCGUAAAGAAAUGUGGAGACACUGACCUGUGGAGUGAUCCGUGAGCAUUAACCAUUGUGCCCUAGAGCAAGACACCCAGCUGCAGGUAGCUCUAGGGCAAAUGUUAUUUAAAGUAUACUAUAAAUGUCAAUCAAAACAUAAAUAUUACAUUUAACAUUGCUAGCAAUAAGUCAAAUAAAAGCAUUGUCAGUUUAAUAUAAACAUAAUGGCAUUGUAUUUGACAUGGGUAUACAAACUCCCUUUUAAUAUACAAACGAACAAAAUAAAUAAGCAAUUAUUUUAUUUCAGUUGUGAUCAAGAAGGCUUUUAUUUAUGCAUUCCUGAACUGUCAGAUGUAUAAACCACUUUAUUGAAGAUUGUGUUUUGGGGGUUGAGGUCAGACUUGCUCAUUUCUCCUCCCUGCUAAACGCAGGAUGAUCAUCUUGGGCUGCUCCUGUGGUCACCAUAUAUUAUUCAAAAUAUAGUGCAUAGGUCCAUGCUGAGUCCUGCGAAUAUGUGCGUGUGAUUGAGAGAGAGAGAAUGUUCCGGCUGUGAGAGCUCUCAUCCCAGACAGCACACCCUGCGGGAGAUAACGGGAGAAAGAUAGAGUAAAAGAAAGAGAGAGAGAGCGAGAGAGUGCAUCUGGGGAAUGUAAGACUCAAACUAAAGUUAGCAUAUUUCCUGUCCAUUCUGAUAAGUGCUCUCUCUCUCUCUCGUCUCUCUCUCGUCUCUCUCUCGUCUCUCUCUCUCUCUCUCUCUCUCUCUCUCUCUCUCUCUCUCUCAUAAUAUACCUCAUAUCUCAUAACAUAAUAGAUAUUUUUAUCAAUGAAGGGCCGCUUAUCAAAACGUCUUAUGUCUCAAUGGAAGUCUAUAGUUAAAGCAUACAAGAAUGAACUAAAACUGAAGGAUGAAUAUAUUCAUCAGGAAUUCAUUAGAUUGUGAUUAGUGGUCGUUUCAUCCUAUGAAGAUGGACCUGAAUGUGAAUUUGCAGAGGACUGUGGCAAUCUACCCCCUCCUGCAACACAGCUGUCACAUACUUUUGAGGAGACUUGGACCUAGAGUCUAAAGGUCAAGUUCACCCGCGAGAUUAUGAGUUGCCCUUAGACAGACGUAAUAAUAUUUUGGAGGCGCUCCGGGGCUUGGUGUUGUAGACCAUUCAAUACAUGAGAGGAGCAAAAGCGUUGCAGCUGGAAUGCAGUCAAAGAUGGAUGAGAGAACCUCGGGUGCCAGUGAAAGAUGGAGGCAGACACGUUUCAGAGGAGAGAUGAGGUGAGGUCACAAUCAUCUUCAUUUUGCUCCAAACCUGUCUGACCUUUUCAUUCUUCAAACGUUAAAAAUCUAAAAAUAAUAACCUUGCUGUUUUCCAUACAAUGAAAGUGAAUAGGUGCAGCUGAACUUGAAAAAUGACAACAAAUAACCACAAAAAUAGUCCAUACGACAGUCCAUGCCCUAUAUAAUUCAUGUCUUCAGAAGUCAUACGAUAGCUUAAUGUGAAGCACAUUCUGAAUUUAAAUGAUUUGCUCGUUUUUUCAUUCUCACAUAGCGCUCAAAUGUCAUUCAUGUUCAGGUACACGUAGAUACACGGCACACUGCACCCAUAGUGGGGUGUCAAUCUUGUCGUGACACAUUUUGAGGUGCUUUUAUCUCAUUUGUGGAGUUCGACAGCUUCAGUCCCCACUGAUUUCAUUGCACGCAGGACAUCCUGCCUAAAAUCUCAUUUUGUAUUCUAUACAAGAAGGAAAGUCAGGAUGAGUAAAUGAUGGCAGAAUUUACAUUUCGUGGUGUGUAUUAGGCUAACGUUACUCUAUUUCCAUGCCCUUUUACUACCUUGACUCUCUCCCUCUCUCUCCUUCUACCCACUCAUAAAGCUUUGUUUGUGAUUUUUCUCAUUCAGCACAGCACCAGUGAGCUCAUCUUCUUUACAGAAAUGUAUCUCUCUCUAAGCCCACCCUUCACAUUUCUCUUCAAAGAGACGGAAACAUCACCUCUAAUUCACCUUUUUACACAUACUGCUCAAAACAGAUCCCGUUUGCUCAUUUACACACAACCUAUGUCGUCGAGACGGGAUCUGCAAGGGCAAUUUAGUUUUUUACGCACUUGAUUUUUCACGCUUUUGUCGUCACGCUUCUUUAUGUUGUUAACUGCCGCCUCCUAGAGGGGGAUGACGGACAUUACGUGGCGUUACAGAUAAAAACAGCCCCGGUUUAUCUUUGCUGGGAAGGAUAAAUAUUACUUCUGGAUAUGUAACGUGUUGCUAUGGUGACGGGCUCAUGAUCAUCUUUACAGAAACGCGGCGAAACUAAGAUGAUUAGGAAGACAGCGGUGUAAAGGAAUGCAGAGCCGAUGAGAUUGUACGGAGCGGCGGGCUGUUACCAUAGUGAUAGUGGAUUGUUACAUCUCUGAUGCGCGCCCACUCGGCGCGGGCGCGCUCACGACCAACGUGAACUGUUAUUUUAUCAAUGAAACAACAGGUUGCGGAACAUUAAGGACUGAAUGUAAAGAGCUUUGUGGAGGAGAGACGGUUAAAGGUAAAACGAAAAUGAAAGGUACAAGAUUGUUCUAAAAGAAGAACUAGAGGUGCAACAAGGAUUUUAUUUCAAAUAUUUUAACUUAUACUGUACGUUACAAAAACGUAUUCAUGCCAACCACACAAAGAUUUAAAAAAAGAAAUUUUAUUUCUAGUUUACGUUUAUAUGUAACUUACCUAGAUGGCUGCAUGACUGAGGCCAAGACAAAUUUCCCAGAUAUGGGACAAUAAAGUGCUCAGUGCCGAUAUUCUAUUGGCACCAAAGGUUUAGACUUAAUGCAAUACAUUUUAUAUUUAAUCUUCACAAAUAAACUUUUCUUAGUGACCAUUACUGCACAGAUUAGCCUGCGAUGCUCUUGGAAAUUAUAUCCUGGCCCUAACUUUGAGAGCAAUUCUGUGACUUGGCAUGCAGUAAAUGUGAAUGUGUAAAAUUAUUUGGAGAAUUCACUUAACAGUCAAUAAUAAAAGUUACGAUUGAAUGCCAAAAUGUUUUGCAUCUACUAUGAUUUCAUGUGUAUGUUCUUCCAAUAAAUAUUUUAUUACUGUAUGUAUUACUGUACGUCUUGGUUUAAAGAUAACAUGGGCCUUAUGCUGCAUCUAAUCAGGAAUAUCUGUUAUCUUAUGUGCAGGUCACCUUUUACAGUUUUACACAAUGUUUGAUCACAAUUUUGCUUCUUGCAGUUUACUUAAAUCCAGUGCUCGAAUUGAGGGAGGCUGGGGGGGUUUGGGAUCUCUAUAAGAGGUCAAAAAUAAGCCUAUGGGGUCCUUCAGAUAUAAGGACCUAUAUAAGGAAUAAGAUACAAAAAAAUCGUGAAUGAAUUAUUUAGAAUAAUUAAGUGUAUUAUGUCUAUUUGACUCUGUAUUUUAAAAGUACAGAUUUUUGCCCCCCCCAAAAAAAACGUCUCACGGAGACACUCUCCCAUCACCACCCCCAUAAGAUUUAUGCAUUUUGCAGAGGCUUUAAAAAAAUAGAAAUGAUUUAAAUUUAAAUCAAGUGCUUUUAGACAGAGUAUAACUAACAUACUCAACACUAAUACACGAGCUGGCCUUAAAUAUCCUAUUUGUCAUGUCUACCUCAUAAAAACAUUAGUUGUUAGUUAUCCAAGAAUUAUGCCGUUUUGAUUCCUAUUCAGAUAAAUUCAUUAAAGUGCUGAGAAACAGCCGAACACACGGAUGACAGCAGCCAUUUUGAACGCAUUGUCAUUAACAGCUGUUGUUGACAGGCUGUCAAUUAAACAGUAACAGAUUGUACAUUUAACACAACACUGUGUUUAGUCAACAUAUUGGUGUUUUAAUCCCACUUCCCAGGAUGUUAUGAUAAUCGGUUAUAAAAGUGAACAGUGUGCAAUGUCUGACAUAAGACUACAACGAUGGCAGAGAGAUACGUAGUUAAAAGCUUGAUUUCUUUAAUGCAAGAAUCAUUAUUGUACAUUAACAAUUCAAUGGUCUCUGCACAGCUUUUUUUUUACAAUAUGUACCACAAGUCUAUGUCAGCACCUACAGGUAUUUACAUUACAUAAUGUUACACUGGAGACAAAGGUGCUGGGGAAAGUGUGUGAAAACAGGAUGAAUGAAAAAGAGAAUGAGAUGCUCUGGAAGAAUGCUGAGAAACUGAAGUAUUGAAGAAAAAUAAGAUGUGCAUGACAGCAGACGUAUGGCUAUCGCAGCACUUGUGCCUGCUACUGGAGCAGAAUUAAACGAAGGCAAACGAAAAUUAUGAAUAACAUCGUCAAUAAUAUUAAAAAAUAAAACUUGUUGCUUUUGAUGCCGCAGUGUGGUAACU